rnacentral:lncRNA from 1 species
CUUCCAUUUAUUCCCAACAAAGGUUUAACGCUACCACUCUUAUUAUAGUCUUACAAAGAUUUCUUAAAGAGAAAGAUGUGAACUAACCCACUUCACUUUAACCCAUUCAUAGGACUAGCUCCAUGAAAAAAGUUAGUGUUACUAAAGCACGAACUAAGUCCAUGAUAAUGGCCACUAAGCUCUAUUAAAGACAUGUUUUCAAGAGCCCCAGUCGCAUACAACCCUAACUAGACCAGCCCCAGUGGUAAUUAUGGUGGUCCUAAUUACACCACUUACUAGUCAUUCUUCUUGUCCAAUUGCUAAAACUAAGUAUAUACUAUAUAAUGAGGUACUAAGAAGAUCACACCAUUUACUAGUCAUUCUUCUUGUCCAAUUGCUAAAACUAAGUAUAUAUUAUAUAUAGAGGUACUAAGAAGAUUAAGGGCAUGUUUUUUCUAUACAAUAUAAGGUACUAAGAAGGCUAAGGGCAUGCUUUUUUUUUCAAGUGAAAGAACUCUCUAAGGGCAUGUUUAUUCUAUACAAUAAGGUACUAAGAAGAUUAAGGGCACGAUUGUUUUCAAGUGAAAGAACUCUCUGAGCACGUUCUUUCCUGCCUCGGCUACUGCUUUCGCUAUUUGUUUAGUUAGGUAGGAAAGAGGUUUCAUACCAAUUCAGGUAUCAAAGCUCUAUCCCAUGGACGGAAAUCUCUACCCCGAAACAAAGGUGCACUGAUUGAAAAUCUUUGAGAGGAUGCAACAGAUGGCACCAUACCUUCAUGCAUUGAACGCGACCGCCAUUUGAGGGGAGAGAGGAGAAGUCGGUUGUGGGCUUCUUGGUGACGGGGAAAGCAGCAGUGGACUUGAGGCCACUGAAAGGGGCAAAAUAUUGAGAUGGAGCAGUCCUG